GGGGGCUUAGUUAAAUGGUAUAACAGAGGUCUCCAAAACCUCGGUCGUGGGUUCGAUUCCUACAGCCCCUG
rnacentral:tRNA from 1 species